UACGUAGGGGGGCAAGCGUUGUCCGGAUUUAUUGGGCGUAAAGAGCGUGUAGGCGGCUUUACAGGUCCGUUGUGAAAACUCGAGGCUCAACCUCGAGACGCCGGUGGAAACCGUAAAGCUAGAGUCCGGAAGAGGAGAGUGGAAUUCCUGGUGUAGCGGUGAAAUGCGCAGAUAUCAGGAGGAACACCGGUGGCGAAGGCGGUUCUCUGGGCAUUACCUGACGCUGAGGAGCGAAAGUGUGGGGAGCGAACAGG
rnacentral:rRNA from 1 species